rnacentral:rRNA from 1 species
UACAGAGGGGCAAGCGUUGUCCGGACUUACUGGGUGUAAAGCGCAUGCAGGUGGCCUGGCAAGUGUGCUGUGAAAGCCCCGUGCUUAACACGGGGAGGCCAGUACAGACUGCCAAGCUCGAGGACUGCAGAGGGUAGGGGAAUUGCUGGUGUAGUGGUGAAAUGCGCAGAUAUCAGGAGGAACACCGGUGGCGAAGGCGGCCCCCUGGACCGGUACUGACGCUGAGGCGCGAAAGCGUGGGUAGCAAACAGG